ACACAUAGUGUAGGUUUGUCUAGCAAAGCGCCAACAAAAACAUCGCACCGGUGGUAGCACACUGGGUGUGUCUUAAGACACGUAAUGUCUGUUCUAAGCAGCACACGACCAUGGAAACACAAAUCUUAUCUAUAUCCUGAUCGCAGAAUCUUGGCCACAAACAUCUCCAAGCUAAAAACGCAGAUAACAUCAAAUCGAAAUGGUUCCAGAUAAGUCUCUGUCAGCAGGCAAUACAGCAGACAACAGGUACAAGAUUGAAAAAGGCAGCACCAGUCAGAUCACAACCAAUAAUCGGGUUAACGACCUUGAAAUUACAUCAUGAUGAUGUGAAUGCUCCACUCGGCCUAUGCUCCGUCGGUGAGGGACCGCUUCGACGUGCUGAUGUAUAGGACUGCACCCAAACAAGAGGCAAUCAGAACGGAGAAAAGGCAGGCAAAUUGGAGUUUGAUUGAAAUAUACAUGACACACAUACCGUUGUUGCCUCUUAUGAAGGCGUCACCAUACUUGUUCUUCAGUUGGCCGUUCACGUACUCUUCGGUUUGCUCCAUCGCAAUGUUCAUAUAGCCAUCCAGACAAGCCAGAAUACCUGGUUCAGAGUUGAUGUAAAUACAACGCUAUCAUUAAAUUUUGAAUAACCAUGUCCGGAUGCUAGCUAAGUCGACUGGAUAUAAGAUAAAAAUAAGGAGGGCGGCAUUUGCUGGAAAUUUAGUGUAUAUAUUGUUUUUAUUGUACACUUAAUGAACUGAGUUGGUGUAUGUAUCCAAGCAUGGGAAUUCCAAAUGCAACAGUAGUGCUCAUCAAGCAAUAGAACAUAUCACUCCAUUCUGAAUUAUAAGAUAUUUUGGAUACUUCAAUAUGGACUACAUACAGACUGAAACGAGUGAUCAGGCACAAUGAAAGGCGUCUAGAUACAUGUGAUUCAUAAAAAAACUAGAACAUCUUAUAAUUCGGAACGGAGGGAGUAGUUAUUAGACUCGCGAUUCGCCAUUUUCCAUGAAUUGAAUUCGAUAGGGGAUAUACAUCUACGAUUUGCGAAUCGGCUUGAUGGGAUUUGCGUUUCGGUUCAAUUUGACAAUCAAAGAUGAAAUAUAUUUUGAAGAACUAAAAGACGAGAGAAGACGACCCAUCAGGCAGUUGGACCAGCCCAGCAAGUGCCACUUCCUCUCUCAUAACCAAGAACCAUUGGAUGCUCAAAUAGUGAUCUGCACUGUCCAAGUCAAUACCCUCCUCAUUUCUGCCCUAACUCCCUGACAAACUAAGGUCAAAACCACCAGCCACACGUCCUCACUUCCUUCCUCCAGUCCCAGCCCCACAAACUGCUGCUCCUUCUACCCAACCGCUGCAGCCUGCUCCCAUGUCUUCCCAGCGACGUGUCCUUGUUGCUCCGCGCUGGCUGCAGCUCCCUCCCAUCUACUCCCAAUGAUGUCCAGGCUGCUCCUUGAUGGCCGGUGCUCCUGGUUGAUCGUUACUCCCACCUCGCCUGCAAUUAAUGGCAACGGAGGUAGCACGGUCAUGUAGCAACAGUGAGGACAUGGACACCCAUGUUCCUAUGACUUUGUCCUUGGGUCGCGAAUCGGGAACGAACCGAACGAAUUUGAACCAUGAUCUAGAUCAAUCGAUCCAGAUCAGAGUUCAACGAUGUUUUGAGCGAAUCCGGCAACUAUGCAAUAGAAGUGACAUAUCAACUUAGUGUGGUCAGUAUCGCUGUGUACUUCUAACAAUUAUUACAGUUACAGUUGCAAAGUGCAAAGUUUGCAGCAACUGGUCACUAAUGCACAUAGUGUAAACAAAGGUUUGUCCAUACGAGACUACGAGAGAAGAAAAAAGGGACCAAAUCAAAAGCACAUAUCACUAUUUUAGGAGGUUGCUAGCUUGAAGAAGGUAUCCAGCAGCUUGACACUUAACCAUUCUGCUUCCCAUUUACAGUUACUGCCGGAGUUGCUUUUGAUGGAACAAGACUAUGCACUGAGAAAUACCAUUUGUUAUCUUGCUAUUCUAGAAUGGUUAUUACUAUUUACUUAUCAUAUUUAACUUGGGCAGUCUUACUGAUAAACAGUAUACUACUAUAGUAGUAAAUUGCAGAACAAUGUAAAUUAAUGGGCACCCUCGUGUCUAAAUAUCUAUUGUUUUACAAAAGGAUAACCAUUACUAUUUCCAUGUAUCCCAAAUGUUAAGUCACAUGGAUUGACAAGGUAAACGGAUAUUGUCAAGAAUACAGUACUGCAGAUAAUUGUUUCUUUACUAGAACAGACAUUAGCACAAAUACCACCAGAGGCAGACAACACUAUUGACCCUUUGAACUUACUAGCGAGGCACUCACCAUAGCAGUAUAGUCACUGAGAAUAGCUACAGUGCACUUUCACCUUUCAUCACUAUAUCUUCUAACAUAUGUAUAAGCUACAAUUUUAGGCUACUCAAUGGAACUGUUAAUUAACUGACACGGUACUAGCUACAGUUCUUGCAGUGCAGUGCUUCGCAGGGUACAACAUGCCCAGCUGAGGACUGAGUCCAACCAUUUGAUCCAGGUGAUUCAUAGCUAGAUGCUUGGAGUUCAGGUCCUCACGUGUAAAUAUCCUGUAGCCCGUAUUUUAGAAUUUUAAUUCAUGCAAGAUAAAAUUUAAUAAACAUCUAAAGACUUUUUUACCUCAGUAAAAUAUUCCAAAAUAAGGGAAAUCACAGGAGCCUUAAAUCUUUCAAGUCUUGAAGGGUCAUCCAGAGAAGCACUG
rnacentral:lncRNA from 1 species